rnacentral:rRNA from 1 species
GACGAACGCUGGCGGCGUGCUUAACACAUGCAAGUCGAACGGAGCGAAUGAAAGCUUGCUUUUAUGAGCUUAGUGGCAAACGGGUGAGUAACACGUAGACAACCUGCCGAUCAGAUGGGGACAACAUUCCGAAAGGAAUGCUAAUACCGAAUGGCGUGUAGGGGAGGCAUCUUCCCUACAUGAAAGAUGGCCUCUAUAUAUAAGCUAUCACUGAUCGAUGGGUCUGCGUCUGAUUAGCUAGUAGGUAAGGUAACGGCUUACCUAGGCGACGAUCAGUAGCCGGUCUGAGAGGAUGAACGGCCACAUUGGGACUGAGACACGGCCCAGACUCCUACGGGAGGCAGCAGUGGGGAAUCUUCCGCAAUGGGCGCAAGCCUGACGGAGCAACGCCGCGUGAGUGAAGAAGGUCUUCGGAUCGUAAAGCUCUGUUGAAGGGGACGAACGUACAUAGUGCGAAUAGUGCNGNGUAANGACGNU